AUUGAACGCUGGCGGCAGGCCUAACACAUGCAAGUCGAACGGUAACAGGAAGAAGCUUGCUUCUUUGCUGACGAGUGGCGGACGGGUGAGUAAUGUCUGGGAAACUUCCUGAUGGAGGGGGAUAACUACUGGAAACGGUAGCUAAUACCGCAUAACUUCGCAAGACCAAAGAGGGGGACCUUCGGGCCCCUUUCCGUCGGCUGUGCCCAGAUGGGAUUAGCUAGUAGGUGGGGUAACGGCUCACCUAGGCGACGAUCCCUAGCUGGUCUGAGAGGAUGACCAGCCACACUGGAACUGAGACACGGUCCAGACUCCUACGGGAGGCAGCAGUGGGGAAUAUUGCACAAUGGGCGCAAGCCUGAUGCAGCCAUGCCGCGUGUAUGAAGAAGGCCUUCGGGUUGUAAAGUACUUUCAGCGGGGAGGAAGGGAGUAAAGUUAAUACCUUGGCUCAUUGACGUUACCCGCAGAAGAAGCACCGGCUAACUACGUG
rnacentral:rRNA from 1 species